UGCAGCUUUUCCAUUCAAUAACAGAGAUCAUGGCGCUCCGUCCCUCUCUCUCCUCCAAAUCCUCACUAUUAACAUUCACCCCAAUGCUGAAGCAGUCUGGGACAAAGAAAUAGCUCCACUGCUUACAGUACUAGAGGAGUCCUCUGCAGAGAGUCUGGAUAAGAAGGAGUGGGACAAGAGGUUACUGGAGCUCUUGUCUAAAACCCUGACAGCACUUGAUGAUGAUAAGUGGGUAUGUCAGUUGGCAGCUGAAUCAACCAGAUACCUCCCUACAUAUAACAACGCCUUAGAG